rnacentral:rRNA from 1 species
CGCCAGACUCCUACGGGAGGCAGCAGCGGGGAAUAUUGCAUAAUGGGGGGAACCCUGAUGCAGCGACGCCGCGUGGGUGAAGGAGCGUUUCGGCGCGUAAAGCCCUAUCGGCAGGGAAGAAGGAGGACGGUACCUGACUAAGAAGCCCCGGCUAACUACGUGCCAGCAGCCGCGGUAAUACGUAGGGGGCAAGCGUUAUCCGGAUUUACUGGGUGUAAAGGGGGCGCAGACGGCAGCGCAAGCCAGGAGUGAAAGCCCGGGGCCCAACCCCGGGACUGCUCUUGGAACUGCGCGGCUGGAGUGUCGGAGAGGCAAGUGGAAUUCCUAGUGUAGCGGUGAAAUGCGUAGAUAUUAGGAGGAACACCAGUGGCGAAGGCGGCUUGCUGGACGAUGACUGACGUUGAGGCUCGAAAGCGUGGGGAGCAAACAGGAUUAGAUACCCGUGUAAG